CUCCUCUCAGGAUUGCACCUGGAGAGUUUCCAGUACUUGACCAGUCUCGGCUAUGGGAGGGAGAGUCAAGCAGAGGCAUACCCAUUCCAUUCCUAGCUUGGGCAGUGGCCAGCUAAUGGAAGGCAAUCUGCUGCACAA